ACGGCCUACCAAGUCGACGAUCCGUAGCCGGACUGAGAGGUUGAACGGCCACAUUGGGACUGAGACACGGCCCAGACUCCUACGGGAGGCAGCAGUGGGGGAUAUUGCACAAUGGGGGAAACCCUGAUGCAGCAACGCCGCGUGAAGGAAGAAGGUCUUCGGAUUGUAAACUUUUGUCCUCAGUGAAGAUAAUGACGGUAGCUGAGGAGGAAGCUCCGGCUAACUAC
rnacentral:rRNA from 1 species